AGUUGAUUCUCUUCGGAGAUGAAGCUAGCGGCGGACCCGUGAGUAACACGUGGGCAACCUGCCUCAUAGAGGGGAAUAGCCUCCCGAAAGGGAGAUUAAUACCGCAUAAGAUUGUAGCUUUGCAUGAAGUAGCAAUUAAAGGAGUAAUCCGCUAUGAGAUGGGCCCGCGGCGCAUUAGCUAGUUGGUGAGGUAACGGCUCACCAAGGCGACGAUGCGUAGCCGACCUGAGAGGGUGAUCGGCCACAUUGGGACUGAGACACGGCCCAGACUCCUACGGGAGGCAGCAGUGGGGAAUAUUGCACAAUGGGGGAAACCCUGAUGCAGCAACGCCGCGUGAGUGAUGACGGCCUUCGGGUUGUAAAGCUCUGUCUUCAGGGACGAUAAUGACGGUACCUGAGGAGGAAGCCACGGCUAACUACGUGCCAGCAGCCGCGGUAAUACGUAGGUGGCGAGCGUUGUCCGGAUUUACUGGGCGUAAAGGGAGCGUAGGCGGACUUUUAAGUGAGAUGUGAAAUACCCGGGCUCAACUUGGGUGCUGCAUUUCAAACUGGAAGUCUAGAGUGCAGGAGAGGAGAAUGGAAUUCCUAGUGUAGCGGUGAAAUGCGUAGAGAUUAGGAAGAACACCAGUGGCGAAGGCGAUUCUCUGGACUGUAACUGACGC
rnacentral:rRNA from 1 species